AAUCCUUCCUAAUCUAUGUUAAAACUAAGAGAAUUCAAAUGCACAGCAGGUGUUUGUGAAAAAGUCUUACAGAAUAUUUUGCUCUUGAAUAAUCUCAUUUCGUUCACAAUAUUUCCUCGCUCACAUUUCCAAUGUAUUCCAGUACAAUAUAUAGACUUUUACAUCACAGAAUUGUCAGAGAACAACCAUAAAGCUUUCAGAAAUGCUACUCCCACUGCUCAAUCCUGCCGCUUGACAUGGAAAGCCCACGUGGCCUGAUAUUUAAAUAAUAAAAACACAAAAUUUGAAAACAAUCUUCUUCUCUCCUCUCAUCGAUUUUUCUUCCUCUCUCCCAAACCCAUCGUAUGAAUCAAUUUUUCUUCAAAUCCCAUCGUCUGCAACCCAAACUCAUCGAGUUUUCUUCUAAUCCCAGCAAGCCAAACCCAUUUACGUUUUUGUUGGAAUCCCAUCGUCCGUGACUCCGCAAGCCAUCCCAGUUCCUUCUAAGAAUCCACAUCGUCUUCCUCGACAUUGUAGAAGAAGCCUUCCCAUCAUUCUCUCCUCCACAUCAUUAUCCUUAUACACAGAAAAUGCUCAUAGAUGGAGUCGCCCGCUACUGAGCCUCAUAGAGUGAAUUGUUCACUUCUAAAGCCCAUAUUGGUCGUCAUUUUCAAUUUGGGAUCAGCUUAUGCUACUUCUGGUAUAAAUAAUUUCUUUUGGUUGCUACUGGAAUCUGAGGUGAAAGCUGCCAAUCUAUACAGAUCACGCGCUUGUAAAUUGUCAGGAAUUCAUAUUUCUAUAAAGCAAACUGUUUUCAUUUGUUACUCGUUUUUAGAAUAAACCAUGGAGCAUUGGAGCAUUUAUAUGCGGUAAGCACAGAUGUUGUUUGGAUAUAUGAUGACUUGUAUAAUUUAAAAUAUUUUAUCACUUUUUAAUUUUUAACUUCAGUUUAAUUUUA